rnacentral:misc_RNA from 1 species
UCUCCGUUGGUGAACCAGCGGAGGGAUCAUUACAGAGCGUAACAACUCUCAAACCACUGUGAACUUACCACUGUUGCUUCGGCGGUGAACUGCGCGCCCCCCCGGGUGCCGGUUCCUACACGCCGCCGGAGGCCCCCCAAACUGUGUCUCAGCUGUGGCAUUAUCUGAGUAGCGAAAGCAAAACAAAUGAAUCAAAACUUUCAACAACGGAUCUCUUGGUUCUG